rnacentral:misc_RNA from 1 species
AACGCACCUUGCGCCUUCUGGUAUUCCAGAAGGCAUGCCCGUUUGAGUGUCAUUAAUUCAUCAACUUCUAAAUUUGAAAAAAUUUAGAGGCUUGGUCUUGAGGGUUUGCCGGCUCUAGUCAGUCAGCUCCCUUUAAAUUCAUUAGCGAGACUUCCCUCUGCUGACCGUCUCCGGCGUGAUAAUUAUCUGCGUCGUUGUUGCGGUUCUCGUUGGGCUUGCUUCUAAUCGUCUUCGGACAGUAGAAUUGAAGCGCAUAUAUGCGCCUAUUUUCGAACCAUUUUGACCUCAGAUCGGGUAGGACUACCCGCUGAACUUAA